rnacentral:rRNA from 1 species
AACGAACGCUGGCGGCAGGCCUAACACAUGCAAGUCGAGCGAGAUCUUCGGGUCUAGCGGCGGACGGGUGAGUAACGCGUGGGAAUAUGCCUCUUGGUACGGAAUAGCCUCGGGAAACUGGGAGUAAUACCGUAUGUGCCCUUUGGGGGAAAGAUUUAUCGCCAAGAGAUUAGCCCGCGUUGGAUUAGGUAGUUGGUGGGGUAAUGGCCUACCAAGCCGACGAUCCAUAGCUGGUUUGAGAGGAUGAUCAGCCACACUGGGACUGAGACACGGCCCAGACUCCUACGGGAGGUAGCAGUGGGGAAUCUUAGACAAUGGGGGCAACCCUGAUCUAGCCAUGCCGCGUGAGUGAUGAAGGCCUUAGGGUUGUAAAGCUCUUUCAGCUGGGAAGAUAAUGACGGUACCAGCAGAAGAAGCCCCGGCUAACUCCGUG